rnacentral:rRNA from 2 species
UACAGAGGGUGCAAGCGUUGUUCGGAAUUAUUGGGCGUAAAGCGCGUGUAGGCGGCCUUGCAAGUCGGGUGUGAAAUCCCUCAGCUUAACUGAGGAAGUGCGCCCGAAACUGCAGGGCUUGAGUACCGGAGAGGGUGGCGGAAUACCCCAAGUAGAGGUGAAAUUCGUAGAUAUGGGGUGGAACACCGGUGGCGAAGGCGGCCACCUGGACGGAUACUGACGCUGAGACGCGAAAGCGUGGGGAGCAAACAGG